GAUGAACGCUGGCGGCGUGCUUAACACAUGCAAGUCGAGCGAUGAAGUUUCCUUCGGGAAACGGAUUAGCGGCGGACGGGUGAGUAACACGUGGGUAACCUGCCUCAUAGAGUGGAAUAGCCUUCCGAAAGGAAGAUUAAUACCGCAUAACGUUGAAAGAUGGCAUCAUCAUUUAACCAAAGGAGCAAUCCGCUAUGAGAUGGACCCGCGGCGCAUUAGCUAGUUGGUGGGGUAACAGCCCACCAAGGCAACGAUGAUUAGCCGGUCUGAGAGGGCGAACGGCCACAUUGGAACUGAGAGACGGUCCAAACUCCUACGGGAGGCAGCAGUGGGGAAUAUUGCGCAAUGGAGAAGAACUCUGACGCAGCAAUACCGCGUGAGCGAAGAAGGUCUUCGGAUCGUAAAGCUCUGUUAUCAGGGAAGAAGAAAAUGACGGUACCUGAUGAGCAAGCCCCGGCUAACUCCGUGCCAGCCGCCGCAGUAACAC
rnacentral:rRNA from 1 species